AUAACUUUUUAUCUACGAGCUAAUACAGACUCCCAGCUACAAACUGUGGUGACACUAAUGGCAAUUUACGACUUGCUCAACUAUAGCAGAUUUACGACUCUUUACACUAUAGUUGAUUUGCGGCUUGCCACACCACAGCUAAUUUAAGGGUUUUCACAUCAUAACACGAUUUAUGACAACGGUCGUGCCAAUCACUGUGAUCCU
rnacentral:lncRNA from 1 species